rnacentral:rRNA from 1 species
GGGACACGUGGUAUCCUGUCUGAAUAUGGGGGGACCAUCCUCCAAGGCUAAAUACUCCUGACUGACCGAUAGUGAACCAGUACCGUGAGGGAAAGGCGAAAAGAACCCCGGCGAGGGGAGUGAAAAAGAACCUGAAACCGUGUACGUACAAGCAGUGGGAGCCUCUUUAUGGGGUGACUGCGUACCUUUUGUAUAAUGGGUCAGCGACUUAUAUUCUGUAGCAAGGUUAACCGAAUAGGGGAGCCGAAGGGAAACCGAGUCUUAACUGGGCGUUAAGUUGCAGGGUAUAGACCCGAAACCCGGUGAUCUAGCCAUGGGCAGGUUGAAGGUUGGGUAACACUAACUGGAGGACCGAACCGACUAAUGUUGAAAAAUUAGCGGAUGACUUGUGGCUGGGGGUGAAAGGCCAAUCAAACCGGGAGAUAGCUGGUUCUCCCCGAAAGCUAUUUAGGUAGCGCCUCGUGAAUUCAUCUCCGGGGGUAGAGCACUGUUUCGGCAAGGGGGUCAUCCCGACUUACCAACCCGAUGCAAACUGCGAAUACCGGAGAAUGUUAUCACGGGAGACACACGGCGGGUGCUAACGUCCGUCGUGAAGAGGGAAACAACCCAGACCGCCAGCUAAGGUCCCAAAGUCAUGGUUAAGUGGGAAACGAUGUGGGAAGGCCCAGACAGCCAGGAUGUUGGCUUAGAAGCAGCCAUCAUUUAAAGAAAGCGUAAUAGCUCACUGGUCGAGUCGGCCUGCGCGGAAGAUGUAACGGGGCUAAACCAUGCACCGAAGCUGCGGCAGCGACACUAUGUGUUGUUGGGUAGGGGAGCGUUCUGUAAGCCUGUGAAGGUGUGCUGUGAGGUAUGCUGGAGGUAUCAGAAGUGCGAAUGCUGACAUAAGUAACGAUAAAGCGGGUGAAAAGCCCGCUCGCCGGAAGACCAAGGGUUCCUGUCCAACGUUAAUCGGGGCAGGGUGAGUCGACCCCUAAGGCGAGGCCGAAAGGCGUAGUCGAUGGGAAACAGGUUAAUAUUCCUGUACUUGGUGUUACUGCGAAGGGGGGACGGAGAAGGCUAUGUUGGCCGGGCGACGGUUGUCCCGGUUUAAGCGUGUAGGCUGGUUUUCCAGGCAAAUCCGGAAAAUCAAGGCUGAGGCGUGAUGACGAGGCACUACGGUGCUGAAGCAACAAAUGCCCUGCUUCCAGGAAAAGCCUCUAAGCAUCAGGUAACAUCAAAUCGUACCCCAAACCGACACAGGUGGUCAGGUAGAGAAUACCAAGGCGCUUGAGAGAACUCGGGUGAAGGAACUAGGCAAAAUGGUGCCGUAACUUCGGGAGAAGGCACGCUGAUAUGUAGGUGAAGUCCCUUGCGGAUGGAGCUGAAAUCAGUCGAAGAUACCAGCUGGCUGCAACUGUUUAUUAAAAACACAGCACUGUGCAAACACGAAAGUGGACGUAUACGGUGUGACGCCUGCCCGGUGCCGGAAGGUUAAUUGAUGGGGUUAGCGGUAACGCGAAGCUCUUGAUCGAAGCCCCGGUAAACGGCGGCCGUAACUAUAACGGUCCUAAGGUAGCGAAAUUCCUUGUCGGGUAAGUUCCGACCUGCACGAAUGGCGUAAUGAUGGCCAGGCUGUCUCCACCCGAGACUCAGUGAAAUUGAACUCGCUGUGAAGAUGCAGUGUACCCGCGGCAAGACGGAAAGACCCCGUGAACCUUUACUAUAGCUUGACACUGAACAUUGAGCCUUGAUGUGUAGGAUAGGUGGGAGGCUUUGAAGUGUGGACGCCAGUCUGCAUGGAGCCGACCUUGAAAUACCACCCUUUAAUGUUU